AGCGUCAGAGUUGUAUAAGAGACAGGUGAAUCAUCGAAUCUUUGAACGCACAUUGCGCCCUCUGGUAUUCCGGGGGGCAUGCCUGUUCGAGCGUCAUUACAACCCUCAAGCUCUGCUUGGUCUUGGGCGUCACCACCCGGUGCGCCUCAAAAACAGUGGCGGUGCCGUCUGGCUUCAAGCGUAGUAAUUUCUCUCGCUCCGGAGUCCAGGCGAGUGCUCGCCAGAACCCCCAAUUUAUCAAGGUUGACCUCGGAUCAGGUAGGGAUACCCGCUGAACUUAAGCAUAUCAAUAAGCGGAGG
rnacentral:misc_RNA from 1 species